UCAAGUAAUUAAGUGCAUGUGGUGGAUGCCUUGGCAGUCAGAGGCGAUGAAAGACGUGAUAGCCUGCGAAAAGCUCCGGGGAGGCGGCAAAUAUCCUUUGAUCCGGAGAUGUCUGAAUGGGGGAACCCACCUACUUUAAGGUAGGUAUUGCAACAUGAAUACAUAGUGUUGCAAGGCGAACGAGGGGAAGUGAAACAUCUCAGUACCCUUAGGAAAAGAAAUCAAUUGAGAUUCCCUCAGUAGCGGCGAGCGAACGGGGAUCAGCCCAUUAAGUUAUGUGUGUUUUAGUGGAACGCUCUGGGAAGUGCGAACGUAGAGGGUGAUAUUCCCGUACACGAAAGGGCACACAUAAUGAUGACGAGUAGGGCGAGGCACGUGAAACCUUGUCUGAAUAUGGGGGGACCAUCCUCCAAGGCUAAAUACUCCUGACUGACCGAUAGUGAACCAGUACCGUGAGGGAAAGGCGAAAAGAACCCCUGUGAGGGGAGUGAAAUAGAUCCUGAAACCGCAUGCAUACAAGCAGUGGGAGCACCUUCGUGGUGUGACUGCGUACCUUUUGUAUAAUGGGUCAGCGACUUAUAUUCAGUAGCGAGGUUAACCGUAUAGGGGAGCCGUAGAGAAAUCGAGUCUUAAUAGGGCGUUUAGUUGCUGGGUAUAGACCCGAAACCAGGCGAUCUAUCCAUGAGCAGGUUGAAGGUUGGGUAACACUAACUGGAGGACCGAACCCACUGUCGUUGAAAAGCCAGGGGAUGACUUGUGGAUAGGGGUGAAAGGCUAAUCAAGCCUGGUGAUAGCUGGUUCUCCCCGAAAGCUAUUUAGGUAGCGCCUCGGACGAAUACCAUAGGGGGUAGAGCACUGUUUCGGCUAGGGGGUCAUCCCGACUUACCAAACCGAUGCAAACUCCGAAUACCUAUGAGUACUAUCCGGGAGACAGACUGCGGGUGCUAACGUCCGUAGUCAAGAGGAAAACAAUCCAGACCGCCAGCUAAGGCCCCAAAAUCAUAGUUAAGUGGGAAACGAUGUGGGAAGGCAUAGACAGCUAGGAGGUUGGCUUAGAAGCAGCCACCCUUUAAAGAAAGCGUAAUAGCUCACUAGUCGAGUCGGCCUGCGCGGAAGAUGUAACGGGGCUAAAACUAUGUGCCGAAGCUGCGGAUGUAUACUUUGUAUACGUGGUAGGGGAGCGUUCUGUAAGCCGAUGAAGGUGUGUUGAGAAGCAUGCUGGAGGUAUCAGAAGUGCGAAUGCUGACGUGAGUAACGACAAAACGGGUGAAAAACCCGUUCGCCGAAAGACCAAGGGUUCCAGUCCAACGUUAAUCGGGGCUGGGUGAGUCGACCCCUAAGGCGAGGCCGAAAGGCGUAGUCGAUGGGAAAAUGGUUAAUAUUCCAUUACUUCUGUGUAAUGCGAUGAGAGGACGGAGAAGGCUAAAUCAGCCUGGCGUUGGUUGUCCAGGUGAAAGGAUGUAGGCAUGUAUCUUAGGCAAAUCCGGGGUACUCUAUGCUGAGAUCUGAUAGCAAGCUGUACUUGUACAGCGAAGUGGUUGAUGCCAUGCUUCCAGGAAAAGUCUCUAAGCUUCAGUUACACAGGAAUCGUACCCGAAACCGACACAGGUGGUCAGGUCGAGUAGACCAAGGCGCUUGAGAGAACUCUGCUGAAGGAACUAGGCAAAAUGGUACCGUAACUUCGGGAGAAGGUACGCUGUUGUUGGUGAUGGAACUCGCUUCCUGAGCUGACGACAGCCGCAGAAACCAGGCCGCUGCAACUGUUUAUUAAAAACAUAGCACUCUGCAAACACGAAAGUGGACGUAUAGGGUGUGAUGCCUGCCCGGUGCUGGAAGGUUAAUUGAUGGGGUUAGCGUAAGCGAAGCUCUUGAUCGAAGCCCCAGUAAACGGCGGCCGUAACUAUAACGGUCCUAAGGUAGCGAAAUUCCUUGUCGGGUAAGUUCCGACCUGCACGAAUGGCAUAAUGAUGGCGGCGCUGUCUCCAGCAGAGGCUCAGUGAAAUCGAAAUCGCUGUGAAGAUGCAGUGUACCCGCGGCUAGACGGAAAGACCCCGUGAACCUUUACUGCAGCUUGACACUGAACUUUGACCUUACUUGUGUAGGAUAGGUGGGAGGCUUUGAAGCUGGAACGCUAGUUCCAGUGGAGCCGUCCUUGAAAUACCACCCUGGUAAUGUUGAGGUUCUAACUCUGUCCCGUGAUCCGGGACGAGGACCGUGUCUGGUGGGUAGUUUGACUGGGGCGGUCUCCUCCUAAAGAGUAACGGAGGAGUACGAAGGUGCGCUCAGCGUGGUCGGAAAUCACGCGUAGAGUAUAAAGGCAAAAGCGCGCUUAACUGCGAGACCCACAAGUCGAGCAGGUACGAAAGUAGGUCUUAGUGAUCCGGUGGUUCUGUAUGGAAGGGCCAUCGCUCAACGGAUAAAAGGUACUCUGGGGAUAACAGGCUGAUACCGCCCAAGAGUUCAUAUCGACGGCGGUGUUUGGCACCUCGAUGUCGGCUCAUCUCAUCCUGGGGCUGAAGCAGGUCCCAAGGGUAUGGCUGUUCGCCAUUUAAAGAGGUACGCGAGCUGGGUUUAGAACGUCGUGAGACAGUUCGGUCCCUAUCUACCGUGGGCGCUGGAAAUUUGAGAGGAUCUGCUCCUAGUACGAGAGGACCAGAGUGGACGAACCUCUGGUGUACCGGUUGUGACGCCAGUCGCAUCGCCGGGUAGCUAUGUUCGGAAGGGAUAACCGCUGAAAGCAUCUAAGCGGGAAGCCUCCCUCAAGAUAAGAUUUCCCUAGGACUUUAUGUCCUCUAAAGAGCCGUUCGCGACUAGGACGUUGAUAGGUUGGAUGUGGAAGCAUAGUGAUAUGUGAAGCUGACCAAUACUAAUUGCUCGUGAGGCUUGACUAU
rnacentral:rRNA from 1 species